rnacentral:lncRNA from 1 species
GCCACACCAGUGAGAUGCAGGCACCUGGCAGACCCUCUGGCUAGCCUGCAGCCCCCCCUCUCCCAGCCCCUGGUGGGCUGCGGUGAUGGGUGUUUUGGGAGAACGAAGACAGCCAGGCUGAUGGCCAGGGCCGCAGUGCCCCUCCCCCCGACCCAGCCCCAAGGUUGAUCCCACGGGAACAGGCUUCCACCCCAGCACUUGCGCACCUGGGAGGGAGCUGCCAUCCGGGCUCCAUUACCUGUUGCUGAAGGCGGGUGCUAGGCUGGCUGGGUGUCAAGGAGCAGGCUCCAGGCCAAGGUCCUGGCCCAGCCACGGCCAUUGCAAGGGCUCAGCCUGGCAGGCUUUGUGGGGGACGCCGCCCUCUCUGCCGCAGGCUGGGUGCACGGCCGGGCACCACAGUGGGACUCAGGCCCGGGAAGGUCAUGUUCUCGACCAGAGCUUUGCUCCCAGUCCAGGCGCCUCAUUCGGAGGCCUCUUGACUGGGACCACAGAGAUGUUUUCUCCGCUCUGACUUGUGGCUCAGGACUACUUUCUGGGUCGUGCUCCUGCCCCACUGUGCCUGGGCCCAUAAACAACAGGAGCCUUUUGUUCCGCUGACCUGCCCAUCCCAGCAGACCCACCUCCCCGCCUGGUGCCUUCCAUGGAGGGAAAUGGGACAGGGGCCGUCAUCUCCCCUCUGCCUCCUGCUUUGCUGUUGCCGAGCACGAGUAAAGCUUUUGUUCUUACUUCACGUGGCUCCU